rnacentral:rRNA from 1 species
AUUGAACGCUGGCGGCAGGCCUAACACAUGCAAGUCGAGCGGAUGAAGGGUGCUUGCUCCUGGAUUCAGCGGCGGACGGGUGAGUAAUGCCUAGGAAUCUGCCUGGUAGUGGGGGAUAACGUCCGGAAACGGGCGCUAAUACCGCAUACGCGCUGAGGGAGAAAGUGGGGGAUCUUCGGACCUCACGCUCUCAGAUGAGCCUAGGGCGGAUUAGCUAGUUGGUGGGGUAAAGGCCUACCAAGGCGACGAUCCGUAACUGGUCUGAGAGGAUGAUCAGUCACACCGGAAAUGAGAAAAGGUCCAGACUCCUACGGGAGGGAGCAGUGGGGAAUAUUGGACAAUGGGCGAAAGCCUGAUCCAGCCAUGCCGCGUGUGUGAAGAAGGUCUUCGGAUUGUAAAGCACUUUAAGUUGGGAGGAAGGGCAGUAAGUUAAUACCUUGCUGUUUUGACGUUACCAACAGAAUAAGCACCGGCUAACUUCGUG